rnacentral:misc_RNA from 1 species
UACGGAGGGAGCUAGCGUUGUUCGGAAUUACUGGGCGUAAAGCGCGCGUAGGCGGUUUACCAAGUCAGGGGUGAAAUCCCGGAGCUCAACUCCGGAACUGCCCUUGAAACUGGUUCACUAGAAUCUUGGAGAGGCGAGUGGAAUUCCGAGUGUAGAGGUGAAAUUCGUAGAUAUUCGGAAGAACACCAGUGGCGAAGGCGACUCGCUGGACAAGUAUUGACGCUGAGGUGCGAAAGCGUGGGGAGCAAACAGG